rnacentral:rRNA from 1 species
UACGAAGGGGGCUAGCGUUGCUCGGAAUUACUGGGCGUAAAGGGUGCGUAGGCGGAUAGUUUAGUCAGAGGUGAAAGCCCAGGGCUCAACCUUGGAAUUGCCUUUGAUACUGGCUAUCUUGAGUACGGAAGAGGUAUGUGGAACUCCGAGUGUAGAGGUGAAAUUCGUAGAUAUUCGGAAGAACACCAGUGGCGAAGGCGACAUACUGGUCCGUUACUGACGCUGAGGCUCGAAAGCGUGGGGAGCAAACAGG